GUAGGUGAACCUGCGGAAGGAUCAUUAUUGAAUAAAUCUGAUGUGGUUGUAGCUGGCUCUCCGGAGCAUGUGCACGCCCGUCACCUUUAUAUCUCCACCUGUGCACACACUGUAGUCCUGGAUACCUCUCGCCGCAAGGCGGAUGCGAGGUCUGUCGUGCUUUCGCAAGAAGGUCGACUUACCUCGAAUUUCCAGGUCUACGACACUUAUACACCCCAAACAGUAUGUUACAGAAUGUUAUCAUUGGGCC
rnacentral:misc_RNA from 1 species